CAAUAAACAAUAUGCAACAUUAAAUUUCGAAAUGCGCAUGUAAUAGGUUUUCAUUUUAACAGUAUCUGUUUUAUUGCAUGCGUGCAUACACAAUUCCGAAAAUAUGGCAUACCUGUUUUGCUGUUUUGCAUUUAUUUGUUCAGUUUCUAUCGUGAUUUGCGGCGGGUUUCCGCUAACAACGCCGGAACCCAGUCACGGAAGGAAAGCAAAUUCGAUGUGCAAAUGUUGCUUUACCAACAGUGUCAUGCCACAGGAGCCCAAUUUUUCAAGCCCAAUUAUUCUCAAGAGAAACAAUGGAGAGCGUUCGAAUGGUCCACCUGAUAAACCUUCCAUGCGUGUCACACCAAUUGAUGAUACGUAUUUUAAUAAUGAUUGCAUUAGUUGUGACGAUACGGUACCCGGCUUAGACCUCAACCAGGUUAAUAAUCCAAAGCAAAAAGAUGUAGAAGACAAUGUAUUCAGGAAUAAGGUUACAGAGAUCAGCGAAGAGCUUCUGGUGCUGAGACAAUUACUAAAUAAAUUAAACGAUGACAUGGAUAAAGAAAUAGCUACGGUCAACACCGAGUCAAGAAAUACGAAAAAAACGGUCUACGAAUCUAAUGCAACGAACGUCUUGGGUGAAAACAUAAACAUGUAUGAAAAAGGAAGGAGGCAGAAACAUACUAACAAAGUCCGCACUGAGCGAGUUCGAAAAAAGAACGUUUAGCAGUCAACAGCUUUUAUCGAACGUUUACGUCGAAAUAAUUUAUGAAAUAUAAUGGUAUAAAAGUAUACAUAUUAUAUUAGUUAAUAAAAAAUAUCUUACGAUCAAA